rnacentral:tRNA from 7 species
GGGCACGUGGCGUAAUUGGUAGCCGCGCACGCUUCAGGAGCGUGUGGAGUAAUCCAUGGAGGUUCGAGUCCUCUCGUGCCCA